rnacentral:lncRNA from 1 species
AGUUCGGAUUACAAUUCAACAUGAGAUUUGGAUGGGGACACAGAGCUAAACCACAUCAGAUGAUGUCAAUUCUGACUUUAAGGAACAAAAGGAUUCUAACAGGAGGACACUGAAGACAGAGGAGAUUAUCCCAAUAUAUCAAUGGAUAAAAACUGGGGAAGACUCAACCACACGUCAGCUGAAGGGCCCUCUGGGAGAUCCUCCACAUUUGUGAGGAGGGACCGUGCCACGGGGCUGCCAGAGGAGAUGCACAGGCCCAGUGGAGACAUCCAAUUCCAGCCUAAACAGGUCACAGAAAGUUCUCUGGAGACCAAGAAUCAUUUUGAUGAAGCAAUUCCACCUUGGGAAAGCAUGAGCUGCAGUGCUGCUGUUUCCCCAGGAUUUUGUAUUAAUUAGCUCCUGGCCUAGGGCAUUAUAUGUUAAUUGCUCUCAAUUGAAAAAUUCCAUGUUUACGUCUGCAUUAGCAAAAGCUGGGGGAAUGUGUUAUUUAAAACAAAAAAAAAUCAUUUAAGUCCCUAGACACUGCCUCCGCCUUCCAGGGUAGACCAGUUGCACAGACCUGCAGAAUACCAAGUAGCAUCUUCAAAUGCCAUAUUGACAUGCAUAUGUUCCUUUCCUCCAAUUGUAAGAAGAAAAUAAAUGUUUGGUUUUGUUUGUCCUCCUGCAUAUUUCUCCAUCUUCAGCCUCUGAGGCAGGAGUGUUUCAUACUCCAAGCUCCCUGAAGUGAAGUUCCCUGCUCCACCGCAACCCCUAACAAAGCUUCUUCCUUUAAAGACAAAGUAUCUAGAGGUCAGUGGUGAAGGCAGGGAAGAAUCACUGGAAAAAGAAUUCUUCUCUAACCAGGAGAGAAAUUGAACUAUAGAGGACACACUGGUGGUUCCUCCCCCAGAUCCUUUUACCAGGCAGGUGCACCCCUCCCCCACCGCCAUCCCCAGCCAAUAUGAGUACUGGCUGCUAACAGUUCACAGCUGAUUUUUUUUCUACAGCAGAGGUCAGUGAAAUACAGUCCAUGGGCCAAAUCCAGCCCAACACCUGUUUUUGCAAAUAAUGUUUUCUUGGAACACAGCCAUGCCUAUUUGUAUAUAUUUUAUGUGUGGCAGCUUCACCUCUGCAACUGCAGAGUGGAGUCACUACAACAGAGACUGUGCACCCUGCAAAGUUGACAAUAUUUACAGUCUGGUCUUUUAUAGAAAAAGUGUGUCGACUUCUACCCCCCAGUGAUGUUGCCCAAGGGAAACGUAACGAGAGCCACAAGCGUGAGCCAGGUUUCUGACCCUUGAGCCUAAAAGACUACGGCAUACUACAGGGCAUAUGCCAAGAUGAGAGCAAAAUGGAAAACAGAAAGCAGAUGAGGUGGAUGCAGUUUCAAAUGUGGCUGUGCGCUUCUGGGUAAACAAAGUGAAAAGGGAAAUUCGGUCAACUACAUUGUUCUCAUUAAGCAUGAAGUGAGAAUGCUCAAGUUCCUUAGGACCAGCAAAGCUUUUUUCUAGCACUUAUUUCUCAAAGCACAAUAGGCAUUAUACAAGGAACUACUGGGAGAUAUGGAGGAUGCUGUCUUCAUUAACUGACACUUUGCAGCGAAUUCAAUAAUGGGAUGUAUAAGGCUGCUGUUCAGAGCAUCUGUUAUGAACACUGAGGGACUCAUGCUUCCAUGGUUGGUCAACUUGAUUCUGUGCAGUUGGAAGAAAGGCAAUGUGGUCUGAGUAUGCCAGCAUCCAGAGGCUCUCUGCAAGUGUCAGUGUUCCAGGAACUGGUCCCCAAACAUUUUAGCCACAACUGACUCUCAGCCCAUUUCUGCCCUUUCCCUCUCAGUGCAAGCUCAUUUGUACCAACUUCUGAAGGUUCCACUCUCCCGUCCCGAGGAGGGAAAUACAAGAGAAUUGAAACCUCCUGCCCUUCAUCCCUGAGAAGGGUUGCACAGAGGUGCCUGCAGAUGUCAAGAACUGUCCUCCACAGCAUCCCUGUUCUUUACCUCCUGUCUCCAUGAUUAAUUCAAGCUGUUGGGAUCUCACAUUACCAUCAGGCUGUCACUGCACUGAGGGUCCCAAAUGGCUCCAGCCCAAGCAACAAAUUAAUCCAGGCUGCUGAGCUUCUGGAAGAUGAAGAACUGACCCAUCGGAAAAUAUACAGAUUGGAACAAGCAUAGCUUUAUUCUUCCCCUUCUCGGGAUGGACCCCAACACCUAACCAAGGCUUUCCCUCUUACACUAAGCUUUGAGGACAGCCAUGGCCUCAUAAGAAUCACAAUCCAUUCUACAAGUCCAGCAACAGUUCAUCAAGGAGAGACUGGUGGCCACUGGCCAAGAUCUCUGUAUGCUCCUCAAGGGUUUCAAUAGUUGGAUUCCAUUUACCUCUCUGGAUUCCAGCUGCCUCACCUUAUAAAAUCACAGCUGGUACCAAUCCUCCAGGCUCAGCUCACAGCAAAAGGGCAAAAGAUAUAUCUAGGUCUAAAUAGACCAAAAGCAAAAAAAAGUCUCCAGUAUCCACUGUUAUGGACUGAAUGUUUGUGUGCCCUCAAAAUUCAUAUGUUGAAACCCUAACCCCCAAUGGUUCUGUAUUUGAAGAUGGGGUCUGUGAGAAGAUGACAAAGAUCAAAUGAAGUCAUAAGGAUGGGGCCCUAAUCUCACAGGGUGGGUCCCCUUAUCAGAAGAGGAAGAAACACCAGAGUGCUCUCUCUCUUUCCACCAUGUGAGGACACAGCAAGAAGGUGGCUGUCUGCAAGCCAGGAAGGGAGCCCUCUCCAAAACUGUCCCUGAUGGACUUGGUCUGGUAUGUCUACCCUCCAGAAUUGUGAGAAAAUAAAUUCCUGUUGUUUAAGCCA